UACGGGGGGGGCAAGCGUUGUUCGGAAUUACUGGGCGUAAAGAGCGUGUAGGCGGCCACGCAGGUCCGUUGUGAAAACUGGAGGCUCAACUUCCAGACGUCGACGGAAACCGUGUGGCUAGAGUCCGGAAGAGGAGAGUGGAAUUCCCGGUGUAGCGGUGAAAUGCGCAGAUAUCAGGAGGAACACCAAUGGCGAAGGCAGCUCGCUGGAACGGUACUGACGCUGAGGCGCGAAAGCGUGGGGAGCGAACAGG
rnacentral:rRNA from 1 species